CAUUGGCUACCCUAGCUUUCGUCUCUCAGUGUCAGUGUUGGCCCAGCAGAGUGCUUUCGCCGUUGGUGUUCUUCCCGAUAUCUACGCAUUUCACCGCUACACCGGGAAUUCCCUCUGCCCCUACCACACUCAAGCGAAGUAGUUUCGACUGCCGAUAUAGAGUUGAGCUCUACGAUUUAACAGUCGACUUACCAAGCCACCUACAGACGCUUUACGCCCAAUGAUUCCGGAUAACGCUUGCAUCCUCCGUAUUACCGCGGCUGCUGGCACGGAGUUAGCCGAUGCUUAUUCCUCAGAUACCGUCAGAACUUCUUCUCUGAGAAAAGGAGAUUACAACCCACAGGCCUUCAUCCUCCACGCGGCAUUGCUCCGUCAGGCUUUCG
rnacentral:rRNA from 1 species